GUUUUGUAGUUCAGUUAACCAAUGCAACCUUUGUAAUUGUCUUAACUUGGGGAAAGCUGGCUACUGACUUUCAAGUGAGAAUACUGAGACAAGGAACAAGGACUAUGAGUUCAUUGAUUCAUCUAGUUUCCAGAGGGAAGAAGAACAUAUUUUUUAUUAAUUCUGAAUAUUCAGUCUUACCUUUGAAACUCUGAUAGAAAAUGUGGUAAUUACAGCAUAAUAUGUUUACCUUCUUGAUAUUGGAAGUAAUUUUGUCACUGAAUACUUCUGUGUCUUGAGAUAUGAUGAAUUUAAUGUUCAUAUUAUGCAUUUAAAAGGU
rnacentral:lncRNA from 1 species